CUGAAACCGGGCUGGGGGGAUGUAGAGAUGAGAAGGCUGUCCCGAGAGAGACUGAAGGGCCUAACUGGCCUGGGUCCUUCUCUCAGGGGGGCCACAGGGAUUAAAUACUGUGACCUUUCUCCCCCGACCUCCAGUCUUCCGUCAGCUCCCAUUGGCUGAACCCAACGAGAAGUCAGAGGAAAAAGAGCAGGAUCCGAGGAGUGAACGAAGAUGCGGAGCCCAGGAUGACCAGCAGGACACAGGCAGUGCUGGCACUGGAAAGAAACCUUCCGCCGAAAACGAGACUGGCUAGCUUCCUGAAGGAAGAGGAACUAGGAACCAGCCUGCCUCCAGCCCCUGUUGUGAGUCUUCUACCUUGCUGAUCUAACUGCAUCCGUUUCAGUUACCCUGUAGUCAGCCAUGUUGGAAAAUAUCAAGUGGGACAUUUCAGAAAUAACAAUUCAUAAGUUUAAAAUUACAUGCCAUUCUUAGUAGCUGAAGAAUUGAUGCUUUUGAACUGUGGUGUUGGAGAAGACUCUUGAGAGUCCGUUGGUCUGCAAGGAGAUCCAACCAGUCCAUCCUAAAGGAGAUCAAACUUGAACAUCCAUUGGAAGGACUGAUGCUGAAGAUGAAGCUUCAAUACUUUGGCCACCUGAUGCGAAGAAAUGAUUCAUUGAAAAAGCCCCUGAUGCUGGGAAAGACCGAAGGCAGAAGAAGGGGACGACAGAGGAUGAGAUGGUUGGGUGGCAUCACCAAUUCGAUGGACAUGAAUUUCAGCAAGCUCCAGGAGUUGGUGAUGGGCAGGGAAGCCUAGCGUGCUGAAGUCCAUGGUGUCGCAAAGAGUUGGACAUGACUGAGCGACUCAACUGAACUGAGCAGUGUGAUGAAAUCUCGAGAGUCCUGCUUCAUCCCACCUCCUCCCACUGAGCCGUGAAUCAUCCUUUUAUUCAGGGUAUCUCUUCCAUUAGCGUUUAGUAGCCAUCUCGGUCACUAGCAUGACCGUCAUAAUACUGUGGUGCUUGUGCUUGAGUCACCUUUGUUUUACUUAAUAAUGGCCCCAAAGUGCAAGAGUUGUGAUGCUGGCAAUUCGGACAUGCCAAAGAGAAGUCGCAAAGUGCCUUCUUUAAGUGAAAAGGUGAAAGUUCUACAUUUAAUAAGGAAUGAAAAAAAUCCUAUGCUAAGGUUGCUAAGAUCUAUGAAUUCAUAUCAGAAUUGUGCAAACAGAAAUAUCCAAGAAAACAACUAUAGUCCCAGGUUACCUGGUUGGUAGCUGGUACAGUGGGGCCAGAGCCCACGCACAAGCAUUUCCCAGGACACUCUGGGAACAGUGGCAUUACUUGGAUGGAUGGCGGCCCCACCUGCCUCUCCUCUGUCUUGUGUGUGAGUCCACAAUAAUGUCUCAAAAAUCCCUGGAGGCCAGUUUUGAGUCAUGUGUGAUGCACAGAGAAGAUGUGUUUUCAGACCUUACAUUGACUGCCUUAUGGUAUAAGAACAAUUCAGAGGACCUCCAUCAUGCCUUGCUAACCUCUGUGGAGGUAAUAAAGGAUCAACUGAGUCACAUUCUCUAGAGCCACCAAGAAUAG
ensembl:lncRNA